GCGGGCAUGGAGAAAUUGGUAAACUCAUUAGACUUAAAAUCUAACGCCUCACGGCUUCCCGGUUCAAGCCCGGGUGCCCGCACCA
rnacentral:tRNA from 1 species